ACCCAAAUUUCUUGUUUCUUC
rnacentral:snRNA from 1 species